rnacentral:rRNA from 1 species
GACGAACGCUGGCGGCGUGCUUAACACAUGCAAGUCGAACGGAAAGGCCCUGCUUUUGUGGGGUGCUCGAGUGGCGAACGGGUGAGUAACACGUGAGUAACCUGCCCUUGACUUUGGGAAAACUUCAGGAAACUGGGGCAAAUACCGGAUAGGAGCUCCUGCUGCAUGGUGGGGGUUGGAAAGUUUCGGCGGUUGGGGGUGGACUGGCGGCUUAUCAGCUUGUUGGGGGGGUAGUGGGUUCCCAAGGCGUUGCCGGGGAGCCGGCCUGAGAGGGUGACCGGCGACAUAGGGACUGAGGGAAGGCCGAGACGGCUAAGGGAGGCAGCAGGGGGAAAGAUUGCACAAGGGACGGAGGCCGGAUGCAGCAGCGCCGCGUGCGGGAUGGCGGCCUUCGGGUUGUAGACCGCUUUCGCCUGUGACGGAGCGUGAGUGACGGUAACGGGUAAAGAAGCACCGGCUAACUACGUG